rnacentral:rRNA from 1 species
UACGGAAGGGCAGCAGUGGGGAAUAUUGCACAAUGGGCGCAAGCCUGAUGCAGCCAUGCCGCGUGUAUGAAAAAGGCCUUCGGGUUGUAAAGUACUUUCAGUCGUGAGGAAGGUGUUAAGGUUAAUAACCUUAGCAAUUGACGUUAGCGACAGAAGAAGCACCGGCUAACUCCGUGCCAGCAGCCGCGGUAAUACGGAGGGUGCGAGCGUUAAUCGGAAUUACUGGGCGUAAAGGGCACGCAGGCGGUUAAUUAAGUUGGAUGUGAAAUCCCCGGGCUUAACCUGGGAAUGGCAUUCAAGACUGGUUAGCUAGAGUCUUGUAGAGGGGGUUAGAAUUCCAUGUGUAGCGGUGAAAUGCGUAGAGAUGUGGAGGAAUACCGGUGGCGAAGGCGGCCCCUGGACAAAGACUGACGCUCAUGUGCGAAAGCUGGGGAGCAAACAGGGAUUACGAUACC